GAAAAUAAACAAAAAAUAAAUAAAACUGAUAUUCUAAUCGCAACCCUCUUGUGAAUCGAGCUCCAGAUCCUAGUUCUCUUGAUCUGAAAUGGUUAAAUAACGAAUGAGCUACACUAACUCAGUAAGAAUAUCACAGUAUAUCACCGACAAAUAAAUAAAGAUCGGUAGAAAAUCAAAACAACUAAUGAAACACUUAAUUAAAUAAAUAUAUUU
rnacentral:lncRNA from 1 species